AACUUCAUCCCAGCUGCCUGCAAAUCAGCAUUUUGCUAGCAGCCUUCAGAUGAAGAUGUAGAACUCUCAGCUCCUCCUGCACCAUGCCUGCCUAGAUGUUGCCAUGUACCCACCUUGAUGAUAAUGGACUGAACCUCUGAACCUGUCUCUCCUCUUCAAGAUGCAAUAAACGAUUUGCUGCAGAAGGAUCCUGGUGUCCGCAUGCAUUCUUGCUGGCAAGACGAUAGUGCAGGACAUUUGGUGCCGAAACCCGGGACAAAUGCCUCACCAUCGCCGGCGCCGAGGAGACCCUCCACUUGAGGAAAGGAUUCAGAACUGCAGGACGAAGCAAGAAGACAAUCUGUUCUGGCUACCGGAAUGACUGACACGAAGAAUUCUGACACCUGGAGAUGACUCCCGGAUGGACCCCUUGGAAACUACCCCUAGCCCUCGCAAUGCCUCUUUGGAUAUGGGUUCCUAGUAUAUUGGGAGAAUACAGAUGGGCAAUUUUG